rnacentral:sRNA from 1 species
GCUUCCGGGUUGGCGCUGCAGUGGCGUUUCCGACUGUGGGAGCCUCAGCUUCCCAGUCGUCCGAUGAGCCCGAGCAGCACCAGAAAAGUACCACUGUAAGUCAUGAGAUGUCUGGUCUGAAUUGGAAACCCUUUGUAUAUGGCGGCCUUGCCUCUAUCGUGGCUGAGUUUGGGACUUUCCCUGUGGACCUUACCAAAACACGACUUCAGGUUCAAGGCCAAAGCAUUGAUGCCCGUUUCAAAGAGAUAAAAUAUAGAGGGAUGUUCCAUGCGCUGUUUCGCAUCUGUAAAGAGGAAGGUGUAUUGGCUCUCUAUUCAGGAAUUGCUCCUGCGUUGCUAAGACAAGCAUCAUAUGGCACCAUUAAAAUUGGGAUUUACCAAAGCUUGAAGCGCUUAUUCGUAGAACGUUUAGAAGAUUCGAAUGCAGGCUCAAGGAAGCUUGUUCCAAGGGAGCAUGAUUGGAAGCUUUAUCGAUAUAUACCAACAAGAAGGCACCAGGGGUCUGUGGAGGGGUGUGGUUCCAACUGCUCAGCGUGCUGCCAUCGUUGUGGGAGUAGAGCUACCAGUCUAUGAUAUUACUAAGAAGCAUUUAAUAUUGUCAGGAAUGAU